rnacentral:tRNA from 1 species
GAGAGGUGGCCGAGUGGACGAAGGCGGCGGAUUCGAAAUCCGUUGUGCGGUCACACCGUACCGGGGGUUCGAAUCCCCCCCUCUCC